GGGGAGUGUGUGUGGGACAAAAGUCGAAGAAGACUUUACUGCCAGCUCGCGAGUGCGUGUGGACUUAUAGGAGGCGGACAAGCGGGCCGGGGAGGAGAAGCCAGAGAGAAAUAAGCCGAUGGUUCAAUCCAAAGACACCACCAGAAGGAAUCUGAAAUCCUCAAUCCGGCGAUGGGUUAGACCACAACUUCCAUCAUCCCUAUCCCGCUAUUUGGCUCCGAGUGACCGUCCAACCCAGCUGAACAGCACCAAAUUGGGAUAUGCUGGACCUCAAUGAGGGAGAACCUAAGUACACGAGAAGGAUUUAUCCGGAAGCUUCGAGGAUCACACGGACCUGAGUGCAACAUGUCCUGUUGGCAAAUAUUAGCCUGCACGGUGCGAUCCAAGCAAAGUGAAUGGUUUGGAUUUAUUUUGAAGUGUCUUCGGUGCUUGCCUCUGAAAUUCUACACUUUUCUUCCACGAAAAUGUAGGAGCAUAGGAGGAAACCGGGACGGGAAUCAUUUCACUCAGGACUACCAGAGUUAGUUUUGGCUGGCACCGAAAACACUGAUCAUCAUAAACAAUCAAUUCAUGUAUUUUU